rnacentral:rRNA from 1 species
AUUGAACGCUGGCGGCAGGCUUAACACAUGCAAGUCGAACGAGUGGCGGACGGGUGAGUAAUGCAUGGGAAUCUAGCUUAUGGAGGGGGAUAACUACGGGAAACUGUAGCUAAUACCGCGUACCAUAGGAGGAGCCCAAGUGGGAUUAGGUAGUUGGUGGGGUAAAGGCUCACCAAGCCGUAGCUCUCUAGCUGGUCUGAGGGGAUGACCAGCAACGCUGGAACUGAAACACGGCCAGAAUCCCUACGGGAGGCAUCAGUGGGGAAUAUUGCGCAAUGGGGGAAAGCUUACGCGGCAAUGCCGCGUGAGUGAAGCAGGCCUUCGGGUUGAAAAGUUCUUUCUGUAGCGCGGCGUUAACUACAGAAGAAGCAACGGCUAACUCCGUGCCAGCAGCCGCGGUAAUUC